rnacentral:misc_RNA from 1 species
UUUUUUUUUUUUUUUUCCUUUUGUGAAAUUUUAUUGUCCUCCAUGAGUUUACAAUAGUUUUUAGAAUGUCUUCAUUUAUAUAUAAUUCUGUAUGGCCUUGUACGCACUACUAAUCAAAUUGUGGUUGAGGUUGUGUGUGUAUCAGUGUAUAUGGAGCGUUAGAACUUAAACAUGCUUGUGAAACACUGCUUAGGCUAUUGUAGAAUUGCAUCUGUAUGAAUUUUAAACUGCAUUUCAUUUGUCUAGGGCACAGUCAGUUGGAAAGAGGGGUUUUCCUUAAUUGUACUUGAUGUAACUCUUCCAUUCUAUGAAAUAUGAUGUGAUGCUUGGUUAGGCUAGUCAACAGCUGAUUUGCAAUUAAGUGUUGAUUGUGUUUGACUGAUGAUGGUCGAUUAUGAUGUAAAUAACAAAUCUCGCAACAUAUUCGUUGUAAUUCAAUUGAAAUAUUGAAUAUGAAAUCUAUAUCUCAAUGGAUUUUGUUUUUGGGCUAAAAACAGUUGUCAAAUGCAUGUAUUUUUCACUUUAUCCAUUUUUAAAUUUGUGAAAGGGAUUUCAGUACCUCUAUAGUUAAUAUUUGAAUAAGUUCUAAACCAGUUGUGCAGGCAGCAUACCACCUUGCACCUCUGGAGUAUUAAGUUUCAUCUUUAGCCUUAAUUAUCGGGAUGCGUGGCAUUUAUUAAAUGCACUGAAUUAAAGUGUAUGGUUAAUCUUAAUGAUUGGGAUGUAUUAAACUCAUGGUUAUUUAUACGAUAACUAGGGCUGCUUAUGAAAGAAUUGCUGUUUCAUGGAUUUUUAUUAAUUAGGAUUUAUUGCCAAAAAACACACCAUUAUACUAUUCUACAACUUGGGGGUAUAUGUAAUUGGUUUAAAAGGCUUCAUUACAUACUCGCAAUUCUUUGUAUAGAAAUUUUGUUAUUGAGGGACUUUUGGAUAUUUGCAUUUUCAUAUUUGGGUAUCAAUGCUCUUAUCGAAUGUCCUACAUAGAUAGAUCAGUAAUCUAAUGUGUGAAUAGCACGUGUGUAAUAAUCUAUUAACUGUUGUGAUAUUGAUCAAGCAUGUCUACUCUGGAGAAUCUGUUUUGUGAACAGUACCUUCUGGUAGCUAUCAAUUGGAAUUAGAAUCUCUAAAUUGUCAUUUGCUUGUUCUGUAGAAGUUUGCUUCCUAUGUUGGUUUUUGGGUGAGUUUGAUAUAUAGAUCAACUUUUCAACUGACUGAAAAAAACCAUGUAAUAUAGAGUGGCUUGGCCCUGGCAUUCGUAGGAUCCUAAGUUUAUUAUCUUUUUCCUAUUUUAAUUGUUCUGCUUUAACUGUUUGGCAAUGGCAAGUAAAUUGAACCUCAAGCAUCUCUAUGCAUAUUUAGCGUUAGUAUAUAUCCUAGUUUCCAUAACUGUUUGAAGUAUGUGUGGCUACAGUUUCACUAUGAAAAGCAUUGUGCAUAUGCUAAUUGUGGAAGAAUUGUUGUUGCCCUUUGGAAUAUGGGCCUUGUAGGAGCAUUAAAUGAUUAAAUCAAAGUUGAAUAUGUAUAUGUUAAGAGUGACUUGGAUAAAGGGAAGUGAUAGAACAGUGAGGCUGUACAGACGGGAGAAAAAAUGAUUUGUUAUGUGCCACUUUGAUAUUUUAAUUAUUGGAGGGAUCACUUCUUAUGUGACUGUUUCUAUGACAUUGCAUUGCACUUGUAUAUUUAUCUAGGUUAAAUUUUCUUUAUUAUUGUCUUUUGCUUUGCCUUCUUUGCUUUGGGGGUGGUGGUGGUGGUGGUUUCAUUUGCUAUUUUAUCCGAGAUAUUAUUGAAGUUUUGUUGCUUUGCGUGAACAUGGCAUUCAGAAAGGCUGAUACAUUUCGAUUGUAUAUGCUACAGGGACACUUGCACACCUACAGAUUUUGCGACAAUGUCUGGACUUUCAUUCUAACAGAUGCAUUGUUUAAGAAUGAAGAUUUGCAGGAGAAUGUUGGUCGAGUUAAAAUAGUGGCAUGUGACUCAAAGCUGCUUACACAAUGAUGUAAUAGAAAUCUGUCUUAUGGUAGCAAAGAUGGACGGCAGCGAGGAAGAAACUUUAGUUUUAGCUACUAUGGACGAUUGAACAUUAGCUGUAUAGCCCAACCUUUUGAAACUAUUGUUAUUUGCUGACACAUUUGAUGAUGGUGCAUCUCUCGAGAGGAACACUUUUGGAGAUGGACACUGGUGAUAAAUCAUGAAAACCACGAAUUAUAUAAUAGUGGCGCACAUUCUGACGUAUUAAUUGUUGCAUGCACACCCUUGUAUUGAUUUCAAAUGUCACUGGUAUGAAAGCAAUAUUUUCCUGGAGAUUGAUUAUACAGGUGGGGAUCUGCUUUAGCUUAAUUAAUUUGAUUUUAGCAAGUAACACUAGCUUUCAUUUCCUAAUUUGAUUUUAGAGACCUUAAAAUUUUCAUUUUAGUUUAAAACAUCAUUUCCUAGUGCUAUGAUAGCGUGCGAAUUGAAGAUGUUAGUGUCC